CCUACGGGAGCUGCAGUGGGGAAUAUUGGACAAUGGGCGAAAGCCUGAUCCAGCCAUGCCGCGUGUGUGAAGAAGGCCUUCGGGUUGUAAAGCACUUUCAGUGGGGAAGAAAGCCUUGGGGCUAAUACCCUCGAGGAAGGACAUCACCCACAGAAGAAGCACCGGCUAACUCCGUGCCAGCAGCCGCGGUAAUACGGAGGGUGCGAGCGUUAAUCGGAAUUACUGGGCGUAAAGCGCGCGUAGGCGGUCUGAUAAGCCGGUUGUGAAAGCCCCGGGCUCAACCUGGGAACGGCAUCCGGAACUGUCAGGCUAGAGUGCAGGAGAGGAAGGUGGAAUUCCCGGUGUAGCGGUGAAAUGCGUAGAGAUCGGGAGGAAUACCAGUGGCGAAGGCGGCCUUCUGGACUGACACUGACGCUGAGGUGCGAAAGCGUGGGUAGCAAACAGGAUUAGAUACCCUAGUAGUC
rnacentral:rRNA from 1 species